GACGAACGCUGGCGGCGUGCUUAACACAUGCAAGUCGAACGGUGAAGCCUUCGGGUGGAUCAGUGGCGAACGGGUGAGUAACACGUGAGCAAUCUGCCCUUGACUCUGGGAUAACUUCGGGAAACCGGAGCUAAUACCGGAUAUGACAUCUGGCCGCAUGGUCUGGGUGUGGAAAGAUUUAUCGGUCAAGGAUGAGCUCGCGGCCUAUCAGCUUGUUGGUGGGGCAAUGGCCCACCAAGGCGACGACGGGUAGCCGGCCUGAGAGGGCGACCGGCCACACUGGGACUGAGACACGGCCCAGACUCCUACGGGAGGGCAGCAGUGGGGAAGUAAUUGCGCAAUGGGCGGAAGCCUGACGCAGCGACGCCGCGUGAGGGAUGAAGG
rnacentral:rRNA from 1 species